rnacentral:misc_RNA from 1 species
GAUGAAGAACGCAGCGAAAUCCGAUAAGUAAUGUGAAUUGCAGAAUUCAGUGAAUCAUCGAAUCUUUGAACGCACAUUGCGCCCCCUGGUAUUCCGGGGGGCAUGCCUGUUCGAGCGUCAUUUCACCACUCAAGCCUCGCUUGGUAUUGGGCAACGCGGUCCGCCGCGUGCCUCAAAUCGACCGGCUGGGUCUUCUGUCCCCUAAGCGUUGUGGAAACUAUUCGCUAAAGGGUGUUCGGGAGGCUACGCCGUAAAACAACCCCAUUUCUAAGGUUGACCUCGGAUCAGGUAGGGAUACCCGCUGAACUUAAGCAUAUCAAUAAGCGGAGGA